rnacentral:rRNA from 1 species
GGAGGAAAAGAAACCAACUGGGAUUACCUUAGUAACGGCGAGUGAAGCGGUAAAAGCUCAAAUUUGAAAUCUGGUACUUUCAGUGCCCGAGUUGUAAUUUGUAGAAUUUGUCUUUGAUUAGGUCCUUGUCUAUGUUCCUUGGAACAGGACGUCAUAGAGGGUGAGAAUCCCGUUUGGCGAGGAUACCUUUUCUCUGUAAGACUUUUUCGAAGAGUCGAGUUGUUUGGGAAUGCAGCUCAAAGUGGGUGGUAAAUUCCAUCUAAAGCUAAAUAUUGGCGAGAGACCGAUAGCGAACAAGUACAGUGAUGGAAAGAUGAAAAGAACUUUGAAAAGAGAGUGAAAAAGUACGUGAAAUUGUUGAAAGGGAAGGGCAUUUGAUCAGACAUGGUGUUUUUUGCAUGCACUCGCCUCUCGUGGGCUUGGGCCUCUCAAAAAUUUCACUGGGCCAACAUCAAUUCUGGCAGCAGGAUAAAUCAUUAAGAAUGUAGCUACUUCGGUAGUGUUAUAGCUUUUUGGAAUACUGUUAGCCGGGAUUGAGGACUGCGCUUCGGCAAGGAUGUUGGCAUAAUGGUUAAAUGCCGCCCGUCUUGAAAAACGGGACCU